rnacentral:rRNA from 1 species
ACACGACUACAUUAGAUACCCCUGUAGUCCCAGCUGUAAACUAUGUGCGUUAGGUGUGUCAGUGACCACGUGUCACUGAGGUGCCGAAGGGAAACCGUGAAACGCACCGCCUGGGAGUACGGUCGCAAGGCUGAAACUUAAAGGAAUUGGCGGGGGAGCGCCACAACGGGUGGAGCCUGCGGUUUAAUUGGAUUCAACGCCGGAAGUCUUACCGGGACCGACAGCAACAUGAAGGCCAGGCUGAAGACUUUGCCGGAUUAGCUG